rnacentral:miRNA from 1 species
CCGAUCUGCACAGCUCAGGGCCGCCUGGUGGCAGGAGUGUCCUUGCUGUCCUGUGCCUUCCCGGCCUCUGCCUGUCCUGGGGGGAGCGCAGGAUCCUGGGCUGUGUCCCCCAGUGCCCUGGGCUCUGGGGUCUGCACCGCUGG